AUUGAACGCUGGCGGCAGGCUUAACACAUGCAAGUCGAACGAGUGGCGGACGGGUGAGUAAUGCUUGGGAAUCUAGCUUAUGGAGGGGGAUAACUACGGGAAACUGUAGCUAAUACCGCGUACCAUAGGAUGAGCCCAAGGGGGAUUAGGUAGUUGGUGAGGAAAAGGCUCACCAAGCCUACGAUCUCAAGCUCGUCUGAGAGGAUGACCAGCCACACUGGGACGGAGACACGGCCCAGACUCCGACGGGAGGCAGCAGUGGGUAAUAUUGCGCAAUGGGGGCAACCUGACGCAGCCAGGCCGCGUGAAUGAAGAAGGCCUUCGGGUUGUAAAGUUCUUUCGGUAGCGAGGCGUUAACUACAGAAGAAGCACCGGCUAACUCCGUGCCAGCAGCCGCGGUAAUAC
rnacentral:rRNA from 1 species